GUGAAUAUAGAAAAGAAAGUGCUGGAGGCUUUUUGGAGGAGUUUGUUUUACAGUUUCAGCUGUUUUUCAUUUUGUUGUUAGACGGCUGGAAAAAAAACUCGGGCCUUUGAUAUUAGAUAAUGCAUUUGAAUAGGCAUUUUUAAUAGUGUGUGCUUUUGUCUUUUUACAUCUGGAUUAGUACGGUUAAAGAGAAAAGAGAAGGGGGUACUGUCUGUUGCCCCAAAGGAAAGUGAAAAUAUGACCAUGUAUUCGUCUAGUAAAAUAUUAUUCCUAAGGAACUGCAAAACUUUAUUAAUAAGUUUAAUUUUAUUAAAUGGAAUUUUAUUAUCAACUUCAGAAUCGGUAAGUUUAAAAAGUGCUGAUAAAGGAGUAUUCUUGUCUGCAUUAGUCAGUGGUUAAUUAUUUUAAUUAUCUUAUCAGAAUAUUAUAUAAUCGGUGCAUGUUUAAAAGAGAACGCAAUAUAUACAACACGUUUACAUAAGUACUGGUACAUGCAUGUGUUUACCGAAUUAUCUAUAGUCUGUUUCCAUUUAGGAAAAGACAUGCAUGUGUAUAAAGUGAAAACGUAAUUUUAGC
rnacentral:lncRNA from 1 species